ensembl:snoRNA SNORD15 Small nucleolar RNA SNORD15
CUUCAGUGAUGAUGCGAUGACGAGUCGGAAUGGGGCAGAUUCUCUCUGUGGAUUCUGGGUCAGUUGUCAUGUUCUGUGCUUCUGGCCUUAGUUCCUCAGUGUAGAACGUUCCUCUCAGUUGAAGACAUUGAGGCAUUUGUCUGAGAAGA